UUUUUAAUGUAGGGAGUUGUCUUUUUUUGGCAUUUGUUUACUUAUUUAUUCAUUGUUAAUCAUGUUUUUAUUUUAAUUCCAGUAUAGCUAACCUAGAUUGUUAUAUUAAUUUCAGGUCUACAAUAUAGUGAUUCAGGACUUCCAUACAUCACCCAGUGCUCAUCAUGGCAGGAGCACUCCUUGGGAAGUAUCUGUUUUUGAGAGCUGUUAUGGAAAAUUGCCAUGGAUCAUCUAUUCAUCAAUUCAAUGAAUAUUCAGGGAAGUCUGACAAGUUUUAGUUGAGGUUUUCCUCCUCAAGAGGCUUCACUUUCAGGAAGAAGUAACAGGGCUGAACUGACAACUAAGUUGCCUAAAUGGAUGAGAUAAUAGAAAACUGUUCCUCUACUCCUCUUUUUAACAUCUGCCUUCUUCCAUACUAUUUUUUAUGAUGGAGGAUAUGAAACCAUAGGCAUAUAGUUAUCCUUGGGAGGACAUUAAACUAAACUUUAGGAACAGUAAAUAUAAGAAUUUGCCUGAUGUAGA
rnacentral:lncRNA from 1 species